rnacentral:lncRNA from 1 species
GAAGCAAUAUGGAGAUGAUAUAGGGGCUAGAUGGUAAGGAUUUCAAAAAAAAAAGGGAAAUUUAGGAAUGUUUUUUUAAAAAAAGAAACGAAACCAACAAUGUAGAUCUACCCUUGACAUCGAAUAGUCCUCACACCCCUUAUAAAAAACUUCUUAUUCUCAGUCACUUGGGGGGGGACGAGGGGAACCCUAACAGAAGAGGGAGGGUCGAUCACGAGAGAGAGAUAGUGAGAUUGACUUAGAAGAGAGCAAGUCAAAGGAGUACGAGAUUCUACAGAGGAAAUAAAAUCUUAAAAUAGCUAGUCUAAU